rnacentral:rRNA from 1 species
GACGAACGCUGGCGGCGUGCUUAACACAUGCAAGUCGAACGGAAAGGCCCUGCUUGCAGGGUACUCGAGUGGCGAACGGGUGAGUAACACGUGGGUGAUCUGCCCUGCACUUCGGGAUAAGCCUGGGAAACUGGGUCUAAUACCGGAUAGGAGCCAUUUUUAGUGUGAUGGUUGGAAAGUUUUUUUCGGUGUAGGAUGAGCUCGCGGCCUAUCAGCUUGUUGGUGGGGUAAUGGCCUACCAAGGCGGCGACGGGUAGCCGGCCUGAGAGGGUGGACGGCCACAUUGGGACUGAGAUACGGCCCAGACGCCGACGGGAGGCAGCAGUGGGGAAUAUUGCACAAUGGGCGCAAGCCUGAUGCAGCGACGCCGCGUGGGGGAUGACGGCCUUCGGGUUGUAAACUCCUUUCGCUAGGGACGAAGCUUUUUGUGACGGUACCUAGAUAAGAAGCACCGGCUAACUACGUG